AAGACGCCGUCAGUUGCAGUACACUUCAUAACAUUAUUUUUUGACCAGGGUGACAUUCACAGGCUCAAAAGAAGGAAAUACCGAACAAUUCAAUCCAACGUGAACUGUUUCUGUAACAGUACUCCCUUAAACAUUCGAUAUAUUUUUCUCGUAGAAAGCUACAUCUUUUUAAAAUACCAAAGUGUCUAACAAUAUUCUAAACUUGUUUUUAAGGAUUGAUUACUUUAUGUGAAUUUAAAUUACCGAGGGCUAUAUGCAAUUCUCGACUUCACUCCG